rnacentral:rRNA from 1 species
UGAGGAAUAUUGGGCAAUGGGCGGAAGCCUGACCCAGCCAUGCCGCGUGCAGGAAGACGGUCCUAUGGAUUGUAAACUGCUUUUAUACGGGAAGAAACACUCCCUCGUGAGGGAGCUUGACGGUACCGUAAGAAUAAGGAUCGGCUAACUCCGUGCCAGCAGCCGCGGUAAUACGGAGGAUCCAAGCGUUAUCCGGAAUCAUUGGGUUUAAAGGGUCCGUAGGCGGCCUUAUAAGUCAGUGGUGAAAUCCCAUCGCUCAACGAUGGAACUGCCAUUGAUACUGUAGGGCUUUAAUAUUGUGAAGUAACUAGAAUAUGUAGUGUAGCGGUGAAAUGCUUAGAUAUUACAUGGAAUACCAAUUGCGAAAGGCAGGUUACUAACAAUAUAUUGACGCUGAUGGAC